UUCAUUUUACUUGGAAGCCUACUUUCUUUGGGCUUUCCUUGCCAACAGAUCACUCCCCACUUUCUGACUUUAUCAUCUUUAUUACAACAAUCUGGGGGGGAGCAGUACAUAGCUGCACGCCAUGAUCAAAACACUUCUUUUGACAUUUGGGUUAAUGCCACGACUUUGAUAUCUGAAAAUGAAGCUAAUACUGGAAAGAGCCUUUCACACAAUUGGUACAAAUGUUAUCUUUCCCACCAGUGUUUUACUGGAUGAUGCAGUUUAAUUAACAUUUGCACAUUCAUGUCAAAAGCUCUGUCAUUCCUUGCUGUCUAAACCUUUCAUUAGUUGUUACUUCCUGGGAGUCAGUGGCACCCCAGCACUGAAGGCAUAGUUGAAGUAGCAAUUAAUUCUGGCUUAUUUUUAGCUAUGAUUGGUAGACUAGAGACUGCGUUGAUGCUUCUAUUUUCAGUUGCUGGCUUAUGUAUUUGGCCGAAGGUAGUUGCCCCUCAAGAGAUAAGGGAGAAGAUGUUAACUGGCUGUCGAAUUUAAGUGAGGAUUGUGAUAUAAAAACAGAAAACUGGCUGUACUAUAAUGUUUAUCCUGUGGAUAAAAUCAUGGUGCAUUCUUUUUGACAAUCUGUGGUAAUAUAAGAAGCAUUCUGCAAUUCUUAAUCACUUGGGAAAAUAUAUGGCCAAAAUAAUGCUAUCACUUCCCUGGAUGGUUCCUUCUGGUCUGACAUUUGCAGAAUCAAAGCUUUAGCCAGACGGCCAUCACUCUUCACAUGCAGGCGCACACGUGGUGUGUAGUUAGAAUUCUUUUCUUCUACAAUCAGGAGUGGAUAAAAGGGAAAACAAAAGUAUUAGGGUAUUUUAUGAAUUUUGUUUACACUUUACGGAAAGGUGACUGUUGAACCUGUCUGGGGAAAUUAAAUACUCCAUAACCAUUCAUAGAUGUGAUAAGUGCACACUGAUAGCCACGUGAACACAGUGAUGAAUAUUUCUUCUGAAGAAAUCUAUAGUAGUUUGAUUUUAUCAGCUAUUUUCAGUUAUGUUACUAUUUCAACAUUUAGAUAUUUAUUGAAUGUACCAUAAAAAUAAACUUGGCUG